rnacentral:pre_miRNA from 1 species
UGUUGAUGACGAAGAUGAGGAUGAUGAUGAUGAUGAUGAUGAUGAUGAUGAUGAUGAUCAUCAUCAUCAUCAUCACCAUCACCUCGCCGCCUCUU